rnacentral:rRNA from 1 species
GACGAACGCUGGCGGCGUGCUUAACACAUGCAAGUCGAACGGAAAGGCCCUGCUUUUGUGGGGUGCUCGAGUGGCGAACGGGUGAGUAACACGUGAGUAACCUGCCCUUGACUUUGGGAUAACUUCAGGAAACUGGGGCUAAUACCGGAUAGGAGCUCCUGCUGCAUGGUGGGGGUUGGAAAGUUUCGGCGGUUGGGGAUGGACUCGCGGCUUAUCAGCUUGUUGGUGGGGUAGUGGCUUACCAAGGCUUUGACGGGUAGCCGGCCUGAGAGGGUGACCGGCAACAUUGGGACUGAGAUACGGCCCAGACUCCUACGGGAGGCAGCAGUGGGGAAUAUUGCACAAUGGGCGGAAGCCUGAUGCAGAAACGCCGCGUGCGGGAUGAAGGCCUUCGGGUUGUAAACCGCUUUCGCCUGUGACGAAGCGUGAGUGACGGUAAUGGGUAAAGAAGCACCGGCUAACUACGUG